UACGUAGGUGGCAAGCGUUGUUCGGAUUUACUGGGCGUACAGGGAGCGUAGGCGGUUGGAUAAGCCCUCCGUGAAAUCUCCAGGCUUAACCUGGAAAGUGCAGAGGGGACUGUUCAGCUAGAGGAUGGGAGAGGAGCGCGGAAUUCCCGGUGUAGAGGUGAAAUUCGUAGAUAUCGGGAGGAACACCAGUGGCGAAGGCGGCGAUCUGGGAAGAUACUGACGCUGAGGUGCGAAAGCGUGGGGAGCAAACAGG
rnacentral:rRNA from 1 species